GAACGCGACAUGAGCAAUCAGCAGAAAAAAUGACAAGACUUAGUGUUAUUGAACUUUGACAAAUAAAAAUGAAAUAUAUAGCUAUUUACUAAACAGGGUAAGAUCUCUUUUAUAUAACGUUAGCCUAAUACAAUUUGGAAACCCAGCUUUGUAGUAACGUUAACUAGCUACUAUGGCUAAUAAUGCUAACGUUAGCUAGCUGUUUUUUUUGUUGUCUAGCUGACUUGCUACUGAAGCUAGCUAGUUAAGUGCUUUUGCAAAAAUGUUACAAUGUCGGAGAGACCGCAAGGUUUACAAAUAUCCGCUGUCGAAAACCAAAUGAAAGUCUAAGAUGAAGGGGAGAAUGUCUUGCUUUUAAAUUUUUUUUAUUACAGUGGACAAAUUGCCUGAUUGAUCUGAUGAGAAGGUAAUAAUCAUUUCAACGUCAUAGGCGAAUGUAUGUAUUAUAAAGAUCUAUAUAUAACUAACCCAAUAUAGUUAAUCGGUGUCGUUUACAAUGGGAACAAAUGAAGCAAGGAGGUGGGCAAAGUGAAGCACGAGCAAGCGAGAUCCUAUUGGCAUGUAGCAAGUAUUUGCAUAAAUUUACUGUGACGUGUGUGCGGUGUGCAUAAAUCAAUUCGACCUUGCACUCCUAAACAACUCAAUUUAAAGUCUAUAAAACGUAUUGCACUUCCUAUCAGAUGCUAGAUUUUGGAACAUAAAUGUAUUGAUCAGAUGUUACAUCAAUGAGAAAAUUAUCAGAAUGUCUGGCCAGAUUCACCCAAAUUGUGUUUGAAUACUCAUACUAACUGUACUAUUUGUGACUAAAUUGAGUAUGUAGUGUUCUUAUUGGUCAUAGUAUGGAUAUAGUUAGUAUGCCAAAAGUUCCAGGAUGUCGUACAAAAUUCGCCAAAAUACAUCAACGCCUGACGUUGAAUAUGGCCAGUGUCAUUAAAUUGUUUCCAGCAGCACAGUCUCCAACUUUUUGGACAACAUAUAAACAGCCUAAUCAGCUCUGCUAGGGCGAGCAAAAUGGUCAGAGUGAGGUGUCAUUUGUGUCUGGAAGUAAAAAAUAAAAAAUUGUGUCUGGAAGUAGCUAGCAAGCUAGCCAACAACGUUAGCCAGUUAGCAAGGGUGCCUUACUGCCGUUGUGAGUCGGAUUAACCCUACUCCUCGGCCAGUGCGUCAUGAACGCUCUGAAUUUACGAACGCCAGAGGGAACUCCAGAUACGCUGGAAACAUCAAACACUUUUUUUCUGAUAACUAGUUCAUCUGGAGCCCAGUUUCAUAAUAUGACCAUAUUUCCCAGCUGCUUGCUGUUGUUUUGAAGUAAUCACGAAAAAACGGCUUAUUUUAGGGCAAUUUUCACCCUGCCAGCUCCUAUUAGUUCUAUUGAGCAUCGUGGCACCAACUUUCCUUCCGAACAUUCUAUUCCCAGUUUAUUGUUAUAUGUCACAAUGUCACUUCGCUAUUGUUGGCAAUGAGACCCGCUCACAUUGUUUAUAGAUUGACACCAUCGAGGUGCGGAUGUUCACUUCUACACAAGUUGUUUUUUUUCCAGUUUCGUCCGGCGAACAGAUUGUAGUGGUAAAAUAAAAAGUGAUACAUUUUUUGGUGCCAUUUAGGCGAAAUGGAAGUAAGCAUCACUCUAGUCAAAACAGACUCUGCGAACAUUUGAUUCCAUUCAUUUGCUAUGGCCUCGUGCUAGUGUUCCAGCUUAGCCAACGCCCUUUUGCUGUUUUUCAGCCUUGGGUGAAUUUUGACUCGCUCUAUUGUCCAGCGUCCUCCCGAUUGAAUCUACGAACACACCCGAAGUUUAAAAAAAAUGUAUAGCAAGACAGGUUGCAUAGCAACAGCAUCAACUUCCGGCAGACAGGCGAAGCGCUAGUACACUCAACUUAAAGGAUAAUGUUUGUUUACAGUAUACUAAAAUUAAUUUAUAGUAUGUAGUGUAUAUACUCAUUAAGUAUGUAGUAUACAGUAUUACUAUGGGUAUUCGAACACAGCUCUAGUUCCAUCCUUUCCCACUACCCCCAACUGGACUUCCUCUCACUACCAUAUUUGGUGGCGAGAAAACGUUCCAAGGGAUGCUUCAGCUUUAUAGCCCAUGUGACUUGUCUGGGUUACCUUUUCUGUCUGUGUCAUAGCCUUAGCUGGGGGUAACUUGUGGAAUAGACACUGACUUGAAUGCAGCUUUAACCAAUCAGCAUCCAGAAUCCAACCACCCAUUGUAUAAUGCGUGACACCUUGCUUGCUACUUGCUUUGUAAAGCAUUACAAGUUGUGCAAUAUGUCCUUGAGUGGCUUUACAUUGUUUGUGUUUGUCUGAACAUCAGACUGUUAACAUAGUUACCAGCUGGCAUGUCUUCACUGACAUUUUCUACCUCUUCCUGACCCGGUGUGUAAUACCUUCAAGUUUCAUGCAGACCACCGUAGUCCCUGUGCCCAAGAACACCCAAGGUAAACUGUCUAAAUGACUGUCGCCCAUAGCACUCACAUCUGUAGCCAUGAAAUGCUUUGAAAGGAUCAAAUCAAAUUUAUUUAUAUAGCCCUUCGUACAUCAGCUGAUAUCUCAAAGUGCUGUACAGAAACCCAGCCUAAAACCCCAAACAGCAAGCAAUGCAGGUGGAGAAGCACGGUGGCUAGGAAAAACUCCCUAGAAAGGCCAAUACCUAGGAAGAAACCUAGAGAGGAACCAGGCUAUGUGGGGUGGCCAGUCCUCUUCUGGCUGUGCCGGGUGGAGAUUAUAACAGAACAUGGUCAAGAUGUUCAAUGUUCAUAAAUGACCAGCAUGGUCGAAUAAUAAUAAGGCAGAACAGUUGAAACUAGAGCAGCAGCACAGUCAGGUGGAAGUUGAAACUGGAGCAGCAGCAUGGCCAGGUAGACUGGGGACAGCAAGGAAUCAUCAUGUCAGGUAGUCCUGGGGCAUGGUCCUAGGGCUCAGGUCAGUUGAAACUGGAACAGCAGCAUGGCCAGGUGGACUGGGGACAGCAAGGAGUCAUCAUGUCAGGUAGUCCUGGGGCAUGGUCCUAGGGCUCAGGUCCUCCGAGAGAGAGAAAGAAAGAGAGAAGGAGAGAAUUAGAGAACGCACACUUAGAUUCACACAGGACACCGACACUGAUGGUCAUGGCACACAUCAACACCAUACACCCUGGACCCGCUCCAAUUCGCAUUCCGCCCCAACAAAUCAAAUCAAACUUUAUUUGUCACGUGCCGAAUACAGCAAGUGUAGACCUUAUAGGGAAAUGCUUACUUACAAACCCUUAACCAACAGUGCAGUUCAAGAAGAGUUAAGAAAAUAUUUACCAAAUAAACGAAAGUAAAAAAUUAUAAAAAGUAACACUAACAUAACAAUAACAAAGCUAUAUACAGGGGGUACCGGUACUGAGUCAGUGUGCGGGGGUACAGGUUAAAGGUAAUUUGUACAUAUAGGUAGGGUUGAAGUGACUAUGCAUAGAUAAUCAACAGUGAGUAGCAGCAGUGUACAAAACAAAUGGAGGAGGGGGGGGUCAAUGUAAUAGUCCGGUGGCCAUUUGAUUAAUUGUUCAGCAGGCUUGGGGGUAGAAGCUGUUGUGUCGUCAGCAAACUUAAUGAUGGUGUUGGAGUCGUGUUUGGCCGCGUAGUCGUGGGUGAACUAGGAGUACAGGAGGGGAUUAAGUACACACCCUCGAGGGGCCCCCGUGCUGAGGUUCAGCGUGGCAGACUAGUUGUUGCCUACCCUUACCAGGAUCCAGUUGCAGAGGGAGGUGUUUAGUCCCAGGGUCCUUAGUUUAGUGAUGAGCUUCGUGGGCACUAUGGUGUUGAACACUGAGCUAUAGUCAAUGAACAGCAUUCUCACAUAGGUGUUCCUUUUGUCCAGGUGGGAAAGAGCAGUGUGGAGUGCGAUUGAGAUUGCGUCAUCUGUGGAUCUGUUGGGGCGGUGUGCGAAUUGGAGUGGGUCUAGGGUAUCUGGGAGGAUGCUGUUGAUGUCAGCCAUGACCAGCCUUUCAAAGCACUUCAUGGCUUCCGACGUGAGUGCUACGGGGCGGUAAUCAUUUACGCAGGUUAACUUCGCUGCCUUGGGCACAAGGUUUAUGGUGGUCUGCUUGAAGCAUGUCGGUAUUACAGACUCAAUCAGGGAGAGGUUGAAAAUGUCAGUGAAGACACUUGCCAGUUGGUCUGCGCAUGCUUUGAGUACACGUCCUGGUAAUCCAUCUGGCUUUGUGAAUGUUGACCUGUUUAAAGGUCUUGCUCACAUCGGCUACCGAGAGUGUUAUCACACAGUCAUCCGGUACAGCUGGUGCAUGCUUCAGUGUUGCUUGCCUCGAAGUGAGCAUAAAAGGCAUUUAGCUAGUCUGGUAGGCUCACUGGGCAGCUUGCGUCUGGGUUUCCCUUUGUAGUCCGUAAUAGUUUUCAAGCCCUGCCACAUCCGACAAGCGUCAGAGCCGGUGUAGUAGGAUUUAAUCUUAAUCCUGUAUUGACGCUUUGCUUGUUUGAUGGUUCGUCUGAGGGCGUAGCUGUCAAGACUUCCGCGGAAGUUGGUCCCUCUCCUAGUUCAGGCGGUGUUCGGCUUUCUAGCCAUCGCCGAUCCACCUUUCAUUUUCCAUUGGUUUUGUCUUGUCUUCCCUCACACCUGGUUUCAAUUACAUCAAUUACAUGUUGUGUAUUUAACCCUCUGUUUCCCCCAUGUCCUUGUCCAGAAUUGUUUAUUGUAAGUGCUUGUGCACGUUAUGUCUGAUGUGCGUCGGGUUAUGUACCCAUUUAUUGAUUGUUCUAUUUUACCCCUUACAGUAGCAGAUUUUUAUAUAGGCGUCCAGAUUAGUGUCCCGCUCCUUGAAAGUGGCAGCUUUAGCUCGAUGCGGAUGUUGCCUGUAAUCCAUGGCUUCUGGUUGGGAUAUGUUUGUACAGUCAAUGUGAAGACGACGUCAUCGAUGCACUUAUUCAUGAAGCCGAUGACUGGGGUGGUAUACUCCUCAAUGCCAUGGGAUGAAUCUCGGAACAUAUUCCAGUCUGUGCUAGCAAAACCGUCCUGUAGCGUAGCAUCCACGUCAACUGACCACUUCCAUAUUGAGCGAGUCACUAGUACUUCCUGCUUUAGUUUUAGCUUGUAAGCCGGAAUCAGGAGGAUAGAAUUGUGGUCAGAUUUGCCAAAUGGGCAGGGGAGAGCUUUUGUAUGCAUCUCUGUGUGUGGAGUAAAGGUUGUCUAGGAUUUUUUUUCUCUGGUUAUACAUGUGACAUGCUGGUAAAUACGAGGUAUAACUGAUUUAAGUUUGCCUGCAUUAAAGUCCCCGGCUACUAGGAGCGCCGCUUCUGGGUGAGCAUUUUCUUGUUUGCUUAUGGCCUUAUAGAGUUGGUUGAGUGCGGUCUUAGUGCCAGCAUUGGUCUGUGAUGGUAAAUAGACGGCUACAAAUAAUAUAGAUAGUGUGGUCUACAGCUUAUCAUAAGGUACUCUACCUCAGACAAGCAAUAACUCUAGCCUUCUUAAAUAUUAGACAUCGCGCACCAGCUGUUAUUGACAAAAAGACACACACCCCCACCCCUCGUCUUACCAGACAUAGCUUCUCUGUUCUGCCGGUGCAUUGAGAAUCCCUCCGGCUCUAUGUUAUCCGUGUCGUCGUUCAGCCACGACUCAGUGAAACAUAAGCUAUUACAGUUCUUAAUGUCAUGUUGGUAGGAUAAUCGUAGGUCAUCAAUUUUAUUUUCUAAUUAUUGCAUAAUAGCAAAUAUAAUUGAUGGCCGUGGGAGUUUACUCGCUCGCCUACUGAUUCUCAAAAGGAAGCCCGAUCUGCUUCCUCUUCACGCAAAUGACGGGGAUCUGUGCCUGUUCCCGGGAGAGCAGUAUACCCUUCUCGUAGGACUCGUUAAAGGAGAAAGCUUCUUCCAGUUCGUGGUAAUUCACUAAGGCUACAGUUACAAGGCCCACCAGCCCCUGCCAACAGUGGUCUAAACAGUCGCCUUGUGAUCUUUGAUGAGAACAAGGCUGCCAGUGCUGGACCGUCUGAUCCAAAUUUGGAAUCUUGGAUGGCCCCACCCCCAUCGAGAUCUAAGGAGAAUGAGAAAUGGAGCAACAUAAAGAUGUCUAUGAAGUCCAGGUUUGGUCACAGUGUUGUGGCUCCGCCCAGCAAGCCAAACUUCCAGCCCUUUGGAGGAGUCGGAUCAGCCUCCGACCAUGACACUGUAAGAUCAACCCAGCGGUGAAUUCGGUGUUGUCUGCACGAAAGCCCUGCAGGGAUGAGACUCCUCUGAAGAGACUGCAGCAACAUCAGCAGCAGGAAGAGGGGAAAGCUCAGAAGCAGAGCAUGUAUUGCAAGGACCUGUUGCUCAGUGUCGCCUCUGAGUUCUGCUUUUAGGAACUGAGGGCAGAAAGCUACCACCAGAAGAAGGCCUUGGAGUCAGAGGCAGUGUCAAGGAAGAGCAAGGGGGCUCUGGUCUUCCAAACGGACACCUUUCCACCUGAACAUUGACAUGUUCAGAUUGUUUUGUAUUUAGGUAGCAGACUGCCAGUAUCAUCUGUUAUGUCUUUCGUCAUGUAUGUAUUUUACUGUUUGUGAUGUGUAUAUAUAAACUGCAGUUGGAACGUCAUAGGUCACACCAGUCAUAGCCAUAGAUAACUAUCUAGGCUCUGGGCCACACAGUAUCCCAGAGGGAAAAAUCAUCUAAUGUAAUUGGAUUGAAAAGAGUUGUGUGAGAAAAUGGUGCUAUGAUUUGAGAACUGAAAUACUGGUGGUUGUUGUUACUGCAUAUCCUUGGAUAUUCUGCAAUAAUUGUCUGUUGAGACUGUUCUGUAAUAUAUUUUCUUUCAUGGCAAUUCACUACAAAACUGUAUUCUACAUUUUACAUUCAUUCCACUAAUCUAUUAUGUUUGGAAAAGGGCUUUAGAUAACAUGCCAUGUUCCGUCUGGUUCCUCUCUCCAUUAUUUCUUUGCCUUCUUCACGUUACCUCUUAGGAAUUAAACUUUCAGUACCCCAUGUGGUGAAAGUAGUGUAUGAGAAUGACAGAGAGAAAUCCAGAGGAGGAGCCUAUGACAAGGCUCAAUUCACAUUAUAGAUGUCACUGCUGUAUAUAUUGGUAAAAAUGUCCCCCCAAGGCCAUGUGGUGAUAGUGUUAAAUAAAUGUGAAAUAAUGG